rnacentral:lncRNA from 10 species
CCCACAUGGAUUGGCUCCCGGGGAAAGCAAGACACAUCCAGGGCACUGCUGGGCAGGCCGAGGGUGGCCGAACUGGCUGUAAACAGAUAUACAAAUAGACACGACACAGGUCUAUUGAAGAAGCUGGAUUUGAAGACUACGUUUCUGUUUGGGUUCGCUGCCUCUUUUCCAGCAAGCAUGGGAGGACCAAGGCCAUCUCAGUUCCAGAGCUUCCAUUAGGUCAGGCUGAGGCCUCUGUUGAGACUACAUCAGCAGUUCAGCUUCUUCUUCCGCCCAACCCGUCAUUCCCCUACUGGUGAUAUUCGCAAGAGCACUCCGAUAAACCUACACUCAAAUCUUGCUAUCGGAGUCUGUUUCGGGGGACCCGACCUAAAACAACCAUUGUAGCCCCAGCCCAGAGCCGUGCACAUAG